AGGUGUAGCAACUUCAUUUAAGGACCAGAACUGCCUAACAAUCAGAAUUUUGGGACGAAAAAAGAAUCAGGAAGCUGAAGAUAGUUUGAGGCUGUAAUUGCAUCGCUGGAAAUAGCAGCUGAGAGAACUGACUCACCUUCAAGGGAUAGAAAAUAUUACAGUGAAUCAUUGGUAAAUAACCUACUGGAAUAUAUUUCCAAUCAUCAAUGCAGACUCCGGCGAGCUGAAUCACUGUCUGCCACCUCCACGAGCAGCUGUCCGCAGUAAUAGAAACUUAUCAGUGACUGGUUGGAGAUGAUUUUCGCAGGCACCAACUUCAUUGACAGCCACUCAAGCGUCAAGAAAACAUGUGACACCCGCAGAAAACAACCUAAUGCUCGCAGCCGAUACUGACGUUAACGUGACGUCAACUACUAUAGGUAAAGUUGACAUUAGAUGUUCAGACAUCCGUAGCACACAAAU